rnacentral:snoRNA from 1 species
AUGAAACAAGGAUUAUGAUUAAUCCAGUUCUGGGCAUUAGA